UUGGCAAAAACAAGGCAGAUGGGGCACCUAGAACUCCUGUCAACAAGCUCAAUAUAGGAACGAUACAGAGAAGAUUAGCAUGGCCCCUGCACAAGGAUGACACGCAAAUUCAUGAAGCGUUCCAUAUUUUU
rnacentral:snRNA from 1 species